AGAUGUCACCCCAUGGAGGAUGUCAGUCACCAUCUCGAUGUCACCUGGAGGCAGAUGUCACCCUGCGAUGGAUGUCACCCCAUGGACGAUGUCACCCCAUGGUGGAUGUCACCCCAUUGGAUGUCACCCCAUUGGAUGUCACCCCAUUCGAUGUCACCCCAUUGGACGUCACCCCACGGCUCAAUGGAUGUCACCCGAUUGGAUGUCACCCCAUUGGAUGUCACCCUAAUGGGUGUCACCCCAAUGAAUGUCACCCAUUCGGAUGUCACCCCAAUGGGUGUCACCCCAUUGGAUGUCACCUGCUGUGACCUCAGGGCACGCGUGGCCUUUGCUUUGUACCCGCCUGGGAUUAAUUACCCUUUGGAAAAGUGAUUAAAAAUGCUAAUUUACAUCUCUGCGAACCCCGAGUGGCGUUUUGGGGUCCCCAAACCCCAUUCCUAGACAGAACCGCCGAGUGGAUCCAUAACGCGCAUGCUGAUUGGCUACUUGCAGAGCACGCCUUCGCUCUCGGCCAAUCCCUGCGCGCCUUUCAGAACCGCGGGGGCGGGCCUACCCGUCUGGCCCCGCCCCUCUCGGGGGCGUGUAGCCAAUCAGGGCGGCCGUAGCAUUUUGACGUCUCAGCUCCGCCAAUGGCGUUGUGAGAAACAUAACGAGCAAGGCUUCCGUCCCUCCCUGGUGGUCUAGUGGUUAGGAUUCGGCGCUCUCACCGCCGCGGCCCGGGUUCGAUUCCCGGUCAGGGAAGAUUUGUUUUCUCUCUUUUCUCCCCAUUUUGACCCAUUUCUUCCUAUUUUUUUUUAUCCUUUGGGCCAUUUUCUUCCUCCUUUUUACCCUUUCCUCCUCUUUUUCUCCCUCUUUUCUCCCCAUUUUGACCCUUCCCCAUUUCCCCCUUUGUUUCCUCCUUUUCAGUUUUCCUCCUCCUUUCCAUUUCCCCCCCUUUUUCCUCCUCCUUUUGCAUUUUUUUCCUUUUUUUCUCCUAUUUUUUUCAGUUUUCCUCCUAUUUUUCCCCUUUUUCCCUCCUCAUUUCGCUCUUUUCCUCCUUUUUCUGUAUUCUUUUCCCCCUUUUCCUCCUAUUUUGCCCCAUUUCCCCCAUUUUUUCCUCCCCCUUUUUCCUCCCUGCCCUUCCCCAUUUUGCCCAUUUCUCCAUGUUUCCUCCUCAUUUUCACUUCAUUUCUUCUCUCUUUGAAACUUUUUCCUCUCUUAUCCCCCUUUUCACUCCUCCUCCCCCUCUUCCUCUUUUCCUUUUGACAUUUCUCUCCCAUUUCUCCCCUUCAUUUUGAUUUCCUCCCCCCUUUUUCCUCUCUCCUUUUUCCUCUCCUUUUUCCUCCCCCUUUUCCUUUUUAUUUUUUCCCUCUUUUUCCUCCUCCUUUUUCCU
rnacentral:tRNA from 1 species